UCCCUCUUAGGGUCGCACUUGGAGAGUUUCCAUUAUUCUACCAGUCUUGACUAUGGGAGAGAGAGUCAAGCAGAGGCAUAACCAUUCCAUUCCUAGCUUGGCCAGUGGCUAGCGAGGGGAAGGCAAUCUGCUACAAGU